AGCAGCUCAAGGAAGAGGAAGGGACAGAUCCUCCCUGCAUCCAAAGGCCUCCUCAGUCUGCAGCUCCAGCUCCAGAAAACGUGCCAGGAAGAGAACUCAGGACCCUGGAGCAGACUACUGGAAGGGAGACUCCAGCUCAAACAAGGCAGGAGGCCAAGGCAGGAGGAUUUCUUGAGCCCAGGAGUUUGAGACCAGCCUAGACAACAUAGUGAGACUCAGUCCCUAACAUUAAAAAAUAAAAAUAAAAAAAUAAAAGGAAUAAAGAU